UACGUAGGGAGCAAGCGUUGUCCGGAAUCAUUGGGCGUAAAGCGCGCGUAGGCGGCCCUGUAAGUCCGCUGUGAAAGUCAAAGGCUCAACCUUUGAAAGCCGGUGGAUACUGCAGGGCUAGAGUCCGGAAGAGGCGAGUGGAAUUCCUGGUGUAGCGGUGGAAUGCGCAGAUAUCAGGAAGAACACCAACGGCGAAGGCAGCUCGCUGGGACGGAACUGACGCUGAGGCGCGAAAGCGUGGGGAGCGAACAGG
rnacentral:rRNA from 1 species